CUUUGUUUUUCAGUAACAAAAACUAACUUGUCAGUGCAUGAAGACAAAAACCGAGUUCCUUACGUAAAGGGUGCAUCAGAGAGAUUCGUAACUAGCCCUGAAGAAGUAAUGGAAGUUAUUGAUGAGGGAAAAUCAAACAGACACAUAGCUGUGACAAAUAUGAACGAGCACAGCUCCCGGAGUCACAGUGUGUUUCUUAUAAACGUCAAGCAAGAACAUAUGGAGAACCAAAAGAAAUUAAGUGGUAAAUUGUACUUGGUGGAUUUAGCUGGUAGUGAAAAAGUAAGUAUCCAGCUUUUGUGAAGUAU